GAUUAGUGGCGAACGGGUGAGUAACACGUGAGCAACCUGCCCCUCACUCUGGGAUAAGCGCUGGAAACGGCGUCUAAUACUGGAUACGAGGCACAACCGCAUGGUUAGUGUCUGGAAAGAUUUUUUGGUGGGGGAUGGGCUCGCGGCCUAUCAGCUUGUUGGUGAGGUAAUGGCUCACCAAGGCGUCGACGGGUAGCCGGCCUGAGAGGGUGACCGGCCACACUGGGACUGAGACACGGCCCAGACUCCUACGGGAGGCAGCAGUGGGGAAUAUUGCACAAUGGGCGGAAGCCUGAUGCAGCAACGCCGCGUGAGGGAUGACGGCCUUCGGGUUGUAAACCUCUUUUAGCAGGGAAGAAGCGAAAGUGACGGUACCUGCAGAAAAAGCACCGGCUAACUACGUGCCAGCAGCCGCGGUAAUACGUAGGGUGCAAGCGUUAUCCGGAAUUAUUGGGCGUAAAGAGCUCGUAGGCGGUUUGUCGCGUCUGCUGUGAAAUCCCGAGGCUCAACCUCGGGCCUGCAGUGGGUACGGGCAGACUAGAGUGCGGUAGGGGAGAUUGGAAUUCCUGGUGUAGCGGUGGAAUGCGCAGAUAUCAGGAGGAACACCGAUGGCGAAGGCAGAUCUCUGGGCCGUAACUGACGCUGAGGAGCGAAAGGGUGGGGAGCAAACAGGCUUAGAUACCCUGGUAGUCCACCCCGUAAACGUUGGGAACUAGUUGUGGGGUCCUUUCCACGGAUUCCGUGACGCAGCUAACGCAUUAAGUUCCCCGCCUGGGGAGUACGGCCGCAAGGCUAAAACUCAAAGGAAUUGACGGGGACCCGCACAAGCGGCGGAGCAUGCGGAUUAAUUCGAUGCAACGCGAAGAACCUUACCAAGGCUUGACAUACACGAGAACGGGCCAGAAAUGGUCAACUCUUUGGACACUCGUGAACAGGUGGUGCAUGGUUGUCGUCAGCUCGUGUCGUGAGAUGUUGGGUUAAGUCCCGCAACGAGCGCAACCCUCGUUCUAUGUUGCCAGCACGUAAUGGUGGGAACUCAUGGGAUACUGCCGGGGUCAACUCGGAGGAAGGUGGGGAUGACGUCAAAUCAUCAUGCCCCUUAUGUCUUGGGCUUCACGCAUGCUACAAUGGCCGGUACAAAGGGCUGCAAUACCGUGAGGUGGAGCGAAUCCCAAAAAGCCGGUCCCAGUUCGGAUUGAGGUCUGCAACUCGACCUCAUGAAGUCGGAGUCGCUAGUAAUCGCAGAUCAGCAACGCUGCGGUGAAUACGUUCCCGGGUCUUGUACACACCGCCCGUCAAGUCAUGAAAGUCGGUAA
rnacentral:rRNA from 1 species